UACGUAGGGCGCAAGCGUUAUCCGGAAUUAUUGGGCGUAAAGAGCUCGUAGGCGGUUUGUCGCGUCUGCCGUGAAAGUCCGGGGCUCAACUCCGGAUCUGCGGUGGGUACGGGCAGACUAGAGUGAUGUAGGGGAGACUGGAAUUCCUGGUGUAGCGGUGAAAUUCGUAGAUAUUGGGAAGAACACCGGUGGCGAAGGCGGCUCUCUGGACCGUAACUGACGCUGAGGAGCGAAAGCAUGGGGAGCGAACAGG
rnacentral:rRNA from 1 species